GUCGGAUUGGAAGACACACCUGAAAGGUCUCCCUUACUCCUCCCCUGCCCUCCUCCCUCCUGGAAACCGCCAGCUCGCGCCCUCUGCGUAGGGUCUUCCCUGGCCGGCUGCGUGGUCUUCAAGUUUGUCUGACAUGCAGUAGGGGGCUCCUUCCGGCAGAUUUUUUAAUGUAGUGUGUCUUGCUGGCAAAAGACAUUGUUAUUUGUUUGUUUGUAUUUACUCAUUUAUUUACUUUAUCUCCACAGCCGGAGCUGUUAACAUUUCCGUGAAAUCUGAGCCCUCGUGUCUAGCUUUCAUCUGACUUCAAGUUCCAGGUCCAGAGAUCAAAUCCAGGACCUGACUCCACCACUGAACACACUCUACACCUCGAAAACAUUAAGGCUUCAAAGAGGUGAACACCAGAAAACAAAACUUCUCCAGCACCUUCCAUGUGAAAUAAUCCUGUUUCUUGCCUGAACUCCCAGUGUGAGGACAGGUCAGAAGCAACCCAAGGGACCACCAGUGCCCCAGACUCCAGAUGACCCUGGGAAAGAGGACCCACACUCCCCAUGGGGCUGGAGUGCAGGUGUGGGAGGAAAGUUGAACAUAUGAAAAUGAAUGUAAGAAAUACACAAUGAAUAAAAUAGCAGAAUGUUAAAUAAAGACAAGCUCUCUGUUGUUUUACUGCCCUGGGUCAUGUAGUAGAGAC
rnacentral:lncRNA from 1 species